CCUACGGGAGGCAGCAGUGAGGAAUAUUGCGCAAUGGGCGAAAGCCUGACGCAGCAACGCCGCGUGGGCGACGAAGGCCUUCGGGUCGUAAAGCCCUCUUCUGAGGGAAGAGGCAGGACAGUACCUCAGGAAUAAGUCUCGGCUAACUACGUGCCAGCAGCCGCGGUAAAACGUAGGAGGCAAGCGUUAUCCGGAUUUACUGGGCGUAAAGCGCGCGCAGGCGGUUCUGUAAGUUGGAGGUGAAAUCUCCUGGCUAAACUGGGAGGGGUCGUCCAAUACUGCGGGACGUGAGGUCGGGAGAGGGAAGCGGAAUUCCCGGGGUAGUGGUGGAAUGCAUAGAUAUCGGGAGGAACACCGGUGGCGAGGGCGGCUUCCUGGCCCGCACCUGACGCUCAAGCGCGAAAGCGUGGGGAGCGAACGGGAUUAGAUACCC
rnacentral:rRNA from 1 species